rnacentral:rRNA from 1 species
GACGAACGCUGGCGGCGUGCCUAAUACAUGCAAGUCGAGCGAAGUUUUUCUGGUGCUUGCACUAGAAAAACUUAGCGGCGAACGGGUGAGUAACACGUAAAGAACCUGCCUCAUAGACUGGGACAACUAUUGGAAACGAUAGCUAAUACCGGAUAACAGCAUUAACUGCAUGUUUGAUGUUUAAAAGUUGGUUUUGCUAACACUAUGAGUUGGCUUUGCGGUGCAUUCGCUAGUUGGUGGGGUAAAGGCCUACCAAGGCGACGAUGCAUAGCCGACCUGAGAGGGUGAUCGGCCACACUGGGACUGAGACACGGCCCAGACUCCUACGGGAGGCAGCAGUAGGGAAUCUUCCGCAAUGGGCGAAAGCCUGACGGAGCAACGCCGCGUGAGUGAAGAAGGAUUUCGGUUCGUAAAGCUCUGUUGUUAGGGAAGAAUGAUUGUGUAGUAACUAUACACAGUAGAGACGGUACCUAACCAGAAAGCCACGGCUAACUACGUG